UGGGGAAUUUUGGACAAUGGGCGCAAGCCUGAUCCAGCAAUGCCGCGUGCAGGAUGGAGGCCUUCGGGUUGUAAACUGCUUUUGUACGGAACGAAAAGGUUCUCUCUAAUUCAGGGGGCAUAUGACGGUACCGUAAGAAUAAGCACCGGCUAACUACGUGCCAGCAGCCGCGGUAAUACGUAGGGUGCGAGCGUUAAUCGGAAUUACUGGGCAUAAAGCGUGCGCAGGCGGUUUUGUAAGACAGAGGUGAAAUCCCCGGGCUCAACCUGGGAACCGCCUUUGUGACUGCAAGGCUGGAGUGCGGCAGAGGGGGAUGGAAUUCCGCGUGUAGCAGUGAAAUGCGUAGAUAUGCGGAGGAACACCGAUGGCGAAGGCAAUCCCCUGGGCCUGCACUGACGCUCAUGCACGAAAGCGUGGGGAGCAAACA
rnacentral:rRNA from 1 species